rnacentral:lncRNA from 1 species
GGGGCCCACCCCACGCAGUCCCGCCGCCGCUUCAGCCCAACAGCCCUCCUCACGCUGGCGCGCUCCGAGGCCAAGCCCUGGAGGAAACUCUUGACUCUGCGCUAGAACCUCUCUGCCCCUUCCCUCAGCCCAUUAACCCCCGACCCUCACCUCCAGCCUCUCUUCUUAGGGAAAAGGUGAAAGAAAACGAGAAAGAGAUGGGAGGAAAAGGCAAAAGAAAUAAAGAACUUGAAAACGAAAUGAUCAUCAUUUCCCUAUUCUUCCAUGCCAGAAAUAGACCUCUUUCUUCACCUGAGCCUGAAACAGACUUAUUGUUCUCAGGUGUUUCCUUCAUCAUAUGCAUUUACCCGUCUGAAGUCGCAGGAAAUGGUUUUUCCAUCAGUGAGCUUGUACAUGGAGCCCUCUCCCGCAAAGGGCUUGAUCUUUUCUGAUUUGAACCUGAAAGUUUCCCUGCCUUCAUUUCCCCUCAGUCUUUUUAAAAUCUCCCACUCCCCUUCCCCAUGCACACACCUCAAGUACUUUUUUUAAAGCCAGAAAUUUUGCUCUCUGGGGUGUUUUUCAGUAAACAGUAACGCUACAUAAACACCUUUUUCACUUACAAGUUGCAGAGAAUUUAAAUGUUACCCCUGUGUGCACGUAUGUUUCUUAAGGCAUAUGGAUAAGCCCCACUG